GUGCCACAGAUGGGUUUGUGUGUGGCAGUGGGUGGAAUGAUUGCAUGCAUCUUUUGUAACUCGCUGGUAUUAGAAAGGGAGUUCAAGAAAGCAUUGUUUAUAAUGUCAGGGCAGGAAGAUAGAAACUGGAGCCCAAAGAAAUCCCCUUAGAAGAAGAUUAUGUUAGAAUAGGAAACUUAAUUUCCAGAGGCAGAAGCUGUCCCUUCAGAUGUUUAGUCCUCCAACAAAUAAUACUUUGACGGUACUCUGUGAUCUGGAUUUUAGGUGGUAGAGCCCUCAAAAGUGCAAAAACUUAACACUGAAGUUUGAGGCAACAUGGGUCAGAGAGUAUACUCGCUGUUGAUUUUCAACACCAGAAAAGUCAAAGUCCUUUUUUUUAAAAAAAGCUGUUUUUCUAGUGGAAUGGAGAAUGACACUGCCACAUCCUUGUUGGGUCUGUUCAGGAGGUCUCCUGCAUCAAAGUGGACGUCUGCAUUUUGUUUCUGUCUUGUGUUUUUAUUAUGAAAAGAAAUGUUAUUGGGACGGGUGUGGGGUGUAGAUUAUGGUAAUAAGAGGAAUCCCUGGUUUUGUUUUCCUUAAAAGAGUUGUUUAGUGUUUUAUCAGAUGUCUGUUGUAGUUGUAGAUGGAAAAGCUUGUAAACAAACAAACACCACAUGGAGCCUGUAAAUGUUUUUGCACAACCUGUAAAGCAUUCUUGGAAGUGGCCAGUAAAAAAACGGGGGAGGGGGGUUCCAUUUUUAAAAAUGUAACUGUGUCAUUGUUUACAUAUGUAACUCUUACCCUGUUCUCAUUACACCAUUCUGGCAAAAAAUGUAGACACAGUAGUUCCAGUUUUAGAAUAAAUAACCAUUUGGAU
rnacentral:lncRNA from 1 species